rnacentral:lncRNA from 1 species
GUCUUCCACAGCGAAUGUCAAUCUUACCUUCCUACGAGUCAUCAUGACUUUAGCACAAAGAGUAAUUGCAAAGUCGCCAAUCCCACCCCUGCGUCUCACUGACGAAGACACGGGGACCAAAGAAAGGAAAGUGCGUCAACCAAAGUGGCAGAGACAGUAGCUAACGCGACCUAUGCACACCAUUUCCCCUUGUCGCCUGCCACCUCUACACCUCUAAUUUUCCUAAACACUUUCCAUGGGACAGGAAUUGCUCGGUAUUGGAAAGCAUAGGAAGGAAGAGGGUGUGGCUGCAGAUGUAUUUAAUGUUGCUUAGUCGCUCUGUAUAGGACACUCAACUUCCCUGAAGCUGGGCUUUCCUGAGGACUUGUGCAUAGAUCAAAUGCUGGCUUCUCUUUUCCCGUAAGUCAGCCUCCGUGUUCACAGGGAGACCCUCAAUUCUUUAUAUACAUGGAAGCUGGAUACUGCAGAGUCGUGCUUCAGGAGUUGCCACACAAGAAAGAGGAAUCAUGGAGCCUGUACCCCACAUGAUGGACCCACAGGUUGUACUCUGACCUUCACGAAUGCACCAUGAUAUGCUCACCCCAACCACAUCCCGCUCCACCCUGCCUAUGUACAUGUGUGUGUGCACACAUAACAAUAAAUCAAUUUAGAAGGAAGAAAGAAGAGAGGAGAACUCAGGUAGGGGAUGUAGCUCAGUUGUGCUUGCUGACAAGCACAAGGCCCCGUGUUCACUCCCCAUCGUUGUGUAGGCGUGGUGUUAUGGCGUUUGUAAUACCAACAGUUGAGGGGUGGAGCCAGACGACCAGAAGUUCGAAAUCAUCCUGGGCUACAAAGGGGAUUUGAAGCAGCCUGGUUUAUAUGAGAUCCUUAGAGAGAGAGAGAGAGAGAGAGAGAGAGAGAGAGAGAGAAGAAAGAAGAAGGAGAAGGGAGGAGACAGGGGAGAAAGAGGAGGGGGAGGAGGAAGAAGGAGAGGAAAGAAAAAAGAGAGGAAAUAACAUCAGGCUCACAUGUUCUCAUAUUCAUCAUUAACCAGGAAAAUUAAAACAACUCAGGCCCGCUAAGGACAGAUGGUCAUUCACAGGUCAGCGCUAAGGACAGAUGUGCUUUGCUGGACCACACAAUAUCUCUGAAUGUUUCUGAAAUUUACUGCUACUGCUUAAGAGCCAUGUUUAUACGUAAUAAAUUCCCUAGAGCUACUACUCUCGGCCUACCUGCUCACCCUGCCUGAUUCCUGAAGUGACAGGUGGUAUUUGCAGCCCAGGGUCCUGCAGACUGGCAGCAUGUGUGCCUGGCCCUGCCUUGCCCCACAAUAGCCUCAAACAACAACAACAACAACAACAACAACAACAACAACAACAAACAGUUACUGGAUUCUUCUGUCUGCAUGACAGAACCAGGUCCUGUAGUUGCUCCUGUAGAUUGUAGCCUCCUCCCUUUCCUGUCACCCUCUUUCUGGACACAAUUCUCUAUGCCUACCUCCCUUUGAAAUCUGUACAUUCAGAGUCAAGCCUAGUGCUCCCCAGAUAUACUUCUCAAUAUAGAAGAUUUGAAGAUAGGUACCUUUCAUAUUUAUGUACCAUUAUUUUCUUCUUGGCACCUAAACCCCUAAGCACGAUGACAAUCCAAAUUGAAAGAAGAUUUGUAGCAUAACGAAAUGGAUUCUUUGCCUUGAAAACAGCAAAACAGAAUGGACUCCAGAGAAAACAGACCAUUAUUUCCUGAGACUAUGCAGAG